GCAUCUGCAAAUUCAGGUGCCGGGCUUGAUACCCCGCCAGAUACAACCGCGACAAAAUGACACGCCGCGAGCGUGUUUUUU
rnacentral:sRNA from 1 species